CGCGAGCUGCAGUGUGCCGGCAUCAUUCAGUGGUGCAGUACUUACUUACCGCGCGGCAGAGUCGACGAGUCCCGCACAAGAUGAAGUCGUGCACAAUAUUGUUCCUGCUCAUUGUCGCACUCUGUGCUUGCGAUGAUAUGGUAUUUAAGAACUGGACUGCAGAAAAUCGAAAAUUUUGUUCUGAUUUUUUUAAAGAUUGUGAUCAAGAUGGUGGUAUUGGUUGGUGCAAUGAAACCAUGGGUAAAUGUAAUGUCCAAGGUGAAUUACGUCCUUGUGAGAAUCAUACAUGUUACGCACCUGCUAGCUUUGUAUGGAUUCAGUAUUUUUCAAAUAAUAACUAUAACGAAUCGAAUCAAGCCUAAUUCGGAAAUCGAACCAAAAUUAUUGAAAAUCACAAAUCGACUUCAAGCACUGACAAAUAAAUAAUUUUACAAGUUUCAAAGUCAACUUCUCCAUCGUCAUCACAUCGAGCACAAGCCGUCCACUGCUGAACAUACGCCUCCCCCAAUGGCUCGAGCGGUCGGUUGGAAGCGGCCUGCAUCCAGCGGCUCCCUGCGACUGCGUCAGGUUUUAAUCUUGCUUACACGCCCAGUAAACGUGUUACUGUAACGUUAUCAAUAAACAUUAACCAGCUGCUGUUUGUGUUUUAUUUAUUACUCAAGGUAAAAUUCAAUAGAUUGAAAGAUCACAAACACGUUUUUUAUUUUAUACUAUCUUCUGCCAGCGGCCUCGCCCGUGUUCGCGUGUGAUGUGGCCUAUGUGUUAUUGGCUAGGGUGGUUAUGAUAUUAAGAUAAAGUACCUAUGCAAAGAGCUUGACAGCAGUCUAGAGCUGGAUAAUGAAAUCCAUGAAACAGGAUCGCUGAUGCAACUAUGGAAAAUAACUUCAACAUACUGUAAGUUUCAACUCAUAUGAGUUAAGUUCGCGCGACGAUCUCCGGCCACCGUAAGUGCAGGUCUGCGGACGGCGAGCAAGGGUAGCUCGCCGCCCGACCAGAACCAGACCCGUGCAUAAAUUAGGUCUAAACCUUAUAAAAGAGGGGAUGAAAUUUCUAUGGAACAUUUCGAAAAUUUAUGAGGUAGAAAGCUAAAAAUAGGCACACAGAUUGGUUAUAUAACCGUUUAAAAAUAACGGUCCUAUUUAUUUAUAAAAAUCUUUCUUUAGGAGAAACAUACCAUCAGCUUAUAAUAAGUGGCCACUGCUGACUAAAGGCCUCUUCUCACAAGGAGAAGGUUUGAGCAUUAAUCGCCGCACUUGCUCAAUGCGGGUUGGCGAUCGAAAUUGGUUCAGCCGAAAGUGAGAUAAUAAUAGCUCACAAACAUAUACAGCCUGAUUUUUUAUCACUAUCCAAAUGUUUUACUUCGGUAAAGUCAGCUAUUUUUAAACCGUAUUUCUUCAGAAGGAAGGAUCGACCGAGAGAGGGCGCCACCGUGUGUCAACAAACAUAUUGCUCAGUGUUUUUCUAUACUAAUAUUAUAAACAGGUAAAUUUUGUAAGUGUAUGUAGGGGGUAAUCUCUGGAACUAAUAAUCCAAUCCUAAAAAGUUUUUCACUGGUAGAAAGCUACAUUAUAUAGCACUCAGGAAUAAUAUAUAGGCUAUAAAUUAUUUUUAUAAUAUGUAUAUUAACCGAGCAAUUACUUUUGUCUAGCAAGUCGGACAAAAAUAGCUCAUAAAACAGAAUAAUAUGCAUGCGCUGCCUAAACAGUUGCUUAAAAUUGAAAAAAAUGUAUGGCAAUCUGGUUUGUCUUAAUUAAAAUACAAUUACGUAUUUGGUAUUUGUAUUUAAAUUAUUUCCUCAAAAUGUAAUUUGUAUUUCCUAUAUCAAAUACCUGACGUUGAAGUAUUUAGUAUUUCACUUACAUGGGGCUUCAAAAUAAAUUUUAAUAUUAAAAUACAUUUAACUUAAUUUCGAAGGAUCACCCUUUUCUUAAAAAAACGUUUAGAGUAGAAUACACAGUAAGAGUUGUGAAAUAUUCAAGCAAAUCACGGAAUUACUGAUUGCCUACAGAGUGUUCAGGCGUUAUCUCUUUUUACCCGACUGCGCCAGAAGGAGGGUUAUGUUUUUCGAGUGUAUGUAUGUAUGUAUGUAUAAUUGUUUGGCACGCUCUGCAGCCUAAACGGCUAGAUGGAUUUUGACUUGAGAGGUGUCGUUAGAUUCGUAUUUAUUGUGAGAGUGACACUGGAUAUAUCAAAAUAAUAAAAAAACAAAAUGGCGGAUUUUUGGCGCCAAAUUCGAAUAUUUCUCACUCUCUAGCCUAAACGGCUUGAUGGAUUUUGACUUGAGAGGUGUCGUUAGAUUCGUAUUUACUGUGAGAGUGACACUGGAUAAAUC